AGAGUUUGAUCAUGGCUCAGGACGAACGCUGGCGGCGUGCCUAAUACAUGCAAGUAGAACGCUGAAGAGAGGAGCUUGCUCUUCUUGGAUGAGUUGCGAACGGGUGAGUAACGCGUAGGUAACCUGCCUUGUAGCGGGGGAUAACUAUUGGAAACGAUAGCUAAUACCGCAUAACAAUGGAUGACACAUGUCAUUUAUUUGAAAGGGGCAAUUGCUCCACUACAAGAUGGACCUGCGUUGUAUUAGCUAGUAGGUGAGGUAACGGCUCACCUAGGCGACGAUACAUAGCCGACCUGAGAGGGUGAUCGGCCACACUGGGACUGAGACACGGCCCAGACUCCUACGGGAGGCAGCAGUAGGGAAUCUUCGGCAAUGGGGGCAACCCUGACCGAGCAACGCCGCGUGAGUGAAGAAGGUUUUCGGAUCGUAAAGCUCUGUUGUAAGUCAAGAACGAGUGCGAGAGUGGAAAGUUCACACUGUGACGGUAGCUUACCAGAAAGGGACGGCUAACUACGUGCCAGCAGCCGCGGUAAUACGUAGGUCCCGAGCGUUGUCCGGAUUUAUUGGGCGUAAAGCGAGCGCAGGCGGUUUGAUAAGUCUGAAGUUAAAGGCUGUGGCUCAACCAUAGUUCGCUUUGGAAACUGUCAAACUUGAGUGCAGAAGGGGAGAGUGGAAUUCCAUGUGUAGCGGUGAAAUGCGUAGAUAUAUGGAGGAACACCGGUGGCGAAAGCGGCUCUCUGGUCUGUAACUGACGCUGAGGCUCGAAAGCGUGGGGAGCGAACAGGAUUAGAUACCCUGGUAGUCCACGCCGUAAACGAUGAGUGCUAGGUGUUGGAUCCUUUCCGGGAUUCAGUGCCGCAGCUAACGCAUUAAGCACUCCGCCUGGGGAGUACGACCGCAAGGUUGAAACUCAAAGGAGUUGACGGGGGCCCGCACAAGCGGUGGAGCAUGUGGUUUAAUUCGAAGCAACGCGAAGAACCUUACCAGGUCUUGACAUCCCGAUGCUAUUUCUAGAGAUAGAAAGUUACUUCGGUACAUCGGUGACAGGUGGUGCAUGGUUGUCGUCAGCUCGUGUCGUGAGAUGUUGGGUUAAGUCCCGCAACGAGCGCAACCCCUAUUGUUAGUUGCCAUCAUUCAGUUGGGCACUCUAGCGAGACUGCCGGUAAUAAACCGGAGGAAGGUGGGGAUGACGUCAAAUCAUCAUGCCCCUUAUGACCUGGGCUACACACGUGCUACAAUGGUUGGUACAACGAGUUGCGAGUCGGUGACGGCAAGCUAAUCUCUUAAAGCCAAUCUCAGUUUGGAUUGUAGGCUGCAACUCGCCUACAUGAAGUCGGAAUCGCUAGUAAUCGCGGAUCAGCACGCCGCGGUGAAUACGUUCCCGGGCCUUGUACACACCGCCCGUCA
rnacentral:rRNA from 1 species